rnacentral:rRNA from 1 species
AUACGUAGGGUGCGAGCGUUAAUCGGAAUUACUGGGCGUAAAGCGUGUGUAGGUGGUUGAAUAAGUUAGAUGUGAAAUCCCCGGGCUUAACCUGGGCACUGCGUUUAAGACUGUUUAACUAGAGUGCUGUAGAGGAUAGUGGAAUUUCCAGUGUAGCGGUGAAAUGCGUAGAUAUUGGAAGGAACACCAGUGGCGAAGGCGACUAUCUGGACAGACACUGACACUGAGACACGAAAGCGUGGGGAGC